CAGACGUUACAGGAAAGCUGAGCCGUCACACCUGGUCGUUGUGGAGGGUUCGUGGGGGUAGCUGACGAGUCGUGCGGCGGCUGCUGCUUCUUCCGGGGGCGCCGCGAUGGAAGCUGACGGGCUGGAGUUCCUGCUGGAUUCAGUAGACCGAUUUCCACUUAGGUAGGAGUUAGCCGAUAGUUUGGAAGAUGCAGACCCGAUAGUCGCCGGCGAAUCAAAACUGCGGGCCUGGGCCGCCUGGCAAUUAGGCGACGGCAGCCCUAGGAGGUCCGAAUGUGAGAUCCGGCGAAGGAAGAAUGAUUCGCCGACAUUUCUGCACAAUCCUCGGGGAAGGUCAAACCGGAUGCCCCUAGGUGCACGAGAUAAUGCAGAGUUUUUUUUCUCAGUUCAACGUGGCCAUCAUUUUGCUCGGCAACUAAGAAUGUUCAGAAGGCAGGUGGCAUGGUUGAAUAUUGCAGUUGAGGCUAGACAGUGCCGCCCACCCACACACACAAUAGAAGCCCAUGUGCCUCACGGAUGAGUGGCCUCAAGCAAUCUAUCCGCAAAUUUACAGAAGAACCUACUAAGAGUGUGGUGAAACCAGAACUUGGUUUGAGUUUCGACUAGUUGGGUGAGGCGUAUGACUUUGACAACUUUUGUUCAGCGGAGGUUGGCUUUGGGAUAUGGUAUGGCAAGAGUAGACUGCAUCCUGAGAGAACCAAUUUAGUGCAAGAGAUCGUGUAUGGCUCUUUGGUGAGAGAUAUUUGUGUUCAUCUGAAUUUUGUUUUCGAUGACAGUGCUUUCUGACAGGAGGGAUUAACAUGGAUUAUUUAUUAUGUGGACUUGAUGUGCACGGACGAGCAAGUAGAAAGUUUUGAGUGGGUGUUUGCACAAUUUCUUAUUAUGAUGGGUGGACCUGCUCCAAAAACAAUACUCAUAGUCUUUGCAGACUAUAUCAUAGCUAAGCCGGCCAUUGCCAAAGUGUAUCCACACAGUGUGCACAGAUGGUGCAAAUGGCACAUACUGAGAAAGCAAAGGAGUGUCUGGGUCCGUUGUGCAUGAAGAAGAAUGAGUUCAGACCUGAGUUUCACAAGGUUGUGAACCACAUGUUGAUGAUCGACGAGUUUGAGGCUGCUUCAGGCAGGAGCACUAUAAAAAGGAUGGUACAACCAGCCAGUUGGUUCUCAAAACUUUGUUCAGAACAGAGCAGGUAGAGCGUGCAUGGCUCCCGCGGCAGUCGUUGGUGAAGCAAGUGGUAAGAUAACGACGACGGGUGAAGUUUCAGAAGAAAAAAAAAGACGACGGGUGGCACUGAGCAGCGUAGGGGCGAUGUCACUGAGGACGGCCAUGAAGCCGGAGGCGUGGACCACGACCGGCGAGGAGGGUGAAGAGCAGUGGGAUCAAUACGAGCGUGAGGUGUUGGAGUUUGAGGAGGAAGCAUGGAAGACCUCCGCAAAAGGCGGGGAAUCUAGCACGGUCAAGCUGGCGGGUGAGGAGAGCUUCGGCGAGCACGAUCCAGCCGGCGCAGUCAUUAUCAACGAUGUACCAGCCUUCUUGAUAGCGUUGGCGGCGCUGAAAAGCUGGAGGAAUCAGAUACAGAGGAGAUGAGCAGAGGUCUGGCUAAGCGAGGGCGAAUUGAACCAUAGAUGGACUUUGAUGUUGGGGAGAUAGCAACGUUGCCACUGACCAUUUUGGAUGGCACGUACGUUGUGUACUGAUUUGUUUUUCCGAUUAGUUGUUUACUGAUUCGUGACACCCUUGUGCGUGAAAGAAAUUUGUUGGGAGCAGGCUGUUCAAACUAAAGGAAUCCAAAAUCCCUAGCCUUUUGUAAACUGUUGUACAGCCAGAAACUUAAUGGCCCAUGGUUGAAAUGGCGUGGAAUGUUAAUUUGUGCA